rnacentral:rRNA from 1 species
GCAUUCGGUGGAUGCCUUGGCACCAGGAGGCGAUGAAGGACGUGGCACGCUGCGAAAAGCCACGGGGAGCCGCGAGCAGGCGUUGAUCCGUGGAUGUCCGAAUGGGGCAACCCACCCCUUUGGGGUAUCUGCAACUGAAUCCAUAGGUUGUAGAGGCGAACCCGGGGAACUGAAACAUCUCAGUACCCGGAGGAAAAGACAUCAACAGAGAUUCCGCUAGUAGUGGCGAGCGAACGCGGAACAGGCCAGUGGUCAGUUGGGGAUAAGCAGAACGGUCUGGAAAGUCCGGCCAUAGCGGGUGAUAGCCCCGUAUGCGUAAAUACCAACUGAUCCUUGAGUAAGGCGGGACACGUGUAAUCCUGUCUGAACAUGGGGGGACCACCUCCAAGCCUAAAAUACUCCCUGGUGACCGAUAGCGAACAAGUACCGUGAGGG